rnacentral:lncRNA from 1 species
AGGGAGCCACCUCCAGUGAGUACCGUGCGCUGAUGUCAGAGCUGAAGAUCCUCAUCCACGUCGGCCACCAUCUCAAUGUGGUCAACCUGCUGGGGGCCUGCACCAAACCAGGGAAGGAGGAGGCCGCGGUGUGGUCAGUUGGAGCGGAUGGGGGAGGACGUGACUGAGGGGGACCUGGGUUUUGGGACCAGCACCCACCUGGAUAUCUGCACUGGGACAGCAGUCUGCUCCAGACAGGGAGAGGAGAGUGCUGUCAGCCACAAAGAGGAGGAAGGUGGUACUGCAGCUCUAAAUCAUACUAGCCACAUGCAAAUACUGUACAUGUCACCUACAGUGAUCGGAAGUUUACAUACACUUAGGUUGGAGUCAUUAAAACUCAUUUUUCAACCACUCCACACAUUUCUUGUUAACAAACUAUAGUUUUGGCAAGUCGGUUAGGACAUCUACUUUGUGCAUGACACAAGUAAUUUUUCCAACAAUUGUUUACAGACAGAUUAUUUCACUUAUAAUUCACUGUAUCACAAUUCCAGUGGGUCAGAAGUUUACAUACAAAGUUGACUGUGCUGUUCAACAACUUGGAAAAUUCCAGAAAAUGAUGCAUGGCUUUAGAAGCUUCUGAAAGGCUAAUUGACAUCAUUUGAGUCAAUUGGAGGUGUACCUGUGGAUGUAUUUCAAAGCCUACCUUCAAACUCAGUGCCUCUUUGCUUGACAUCAUGGGAAAAUCAAAAGAAAUCAGCCAAGACCUCAGAAAACAAAUUGUAGACUUCCGCAAGUCUGGUUCAUCCUUGGAAGCAAUUUCCAAACGCAUGAAGGUACCAUGUUCAUCUGUACAAACAAUAGUACGCAAGUAUAAACACCAUGCGACCACGCAGCCAUCAUACUGCUCAGGAUGGAGACGCGUUCUGUCUCCUAGAGAUGAAUGUACUUUGGUGUGAAAAGUGCAAAUAAAUCCCAGAACAACAGCAAAGGACCUUGUGAAGAUGCUGGAGGAAACGGGUACAAAAGUAUUUAUAUCCACAGCAAAAUGAGUCCUAUAUCGACAUAACCUGAAAGGGCGCUCAGCAGGGAAGAAGACACUGCUCCAAAACCAUCAGAAAAAAGCCAGACUACGGUUUGCAACUGCACAUGGAGACAAAGAUCAUACUUUUUGGAGAAAUGUCCUCUGGUCUGAUGAAACAAAAAUAGAACUGUUUGUCCAUAAUGACGAUUGUUAAGUUUGGAGGAAAAAGGGGGAAGCUUGCAAGUGGAAGAACACCAUCCCAACCGUGAAGCACAGGGGUGGCAGCAUCAAGUUGUGGGGUGCUUUGCUGCAGGAGGGACUGGUGCAC